UACGUAGGGUGCGAGCGUUAAUCGGAAUUACUGGGCGUAAAGUGUGCGCAGGCGGCCGCGCAAGUCGAGUGUGAAAGCCCCGGGCUUAACUUGGGAAUUGCGCUCGAAACUACGUGGCUGGAGUGUGGCAGAGGAAGGUGGAAUUCCAGGUGUAGCGGUGAAAUGCGUAGAGAUGUGGAGGAACACCGAUGGCGAAGGCAGCCUUCUGGGCCAACACUGACGCUCAUGCACGAAAGCGUGGGGAGCAAACAGG
rnacentral:rRNA from 1 species